rfam:Ruminococcaceae bacterium D16 genomic scaffold acsPy-supercont2.6, whole genome shotgun sequence.
AAAAGCAAAGAUAAAAACGCAACGCAUAUAACGAUAUAUGCCAGAGCCGGUAGGUAGCCCGGCCGUCCUGUUUAUCAGGGUAAGUAACCUGCCCCUCCGGGUUGUCCAUUCUUUGCUCAUAGCAA